CUUUAAUGACUGAGCAACAAGGGAAGAUCUACAAGCAUGUGCUGGCUCUUCCUAAAAGGUGCUCCACCCAGCUGGGGCUGCUGGAAGCGCACAGGAGUGGAUGGAGACAAGCAGAUUCGUUACCAGCUGAACCACCAAGGAAGCCCAUGGGCAACUCCCAAAUGUUGGAAACAGCAGAGGACCAAAGAUGAGGAAACAGAAGCAGGGCCUGACCACAGAGAAUGCCCAGGAUCAGUUUAUUGACUUCCAAGGACUAUUAACCUUCUGGAGAAGGAAAAAAAAAACAAAAACCUUUCUUGUAUCUAGGACCUGUUGGGUACUAAUUUAAUGUGGCAAUGAGAUAAAAGUCCACUCAGGCUGCUGUCAACCUCACUGGAUCGGAAUGCCGUCUACUUAGCAUAGAAGUCAAACAAUUCCCUGGCAAUAGAUUGCCUUCCACUUGUAGGUCUACUAAAUAAAUAGAAAAGUAAUUAACAGUGGGCGAUGGCAGAUAUAUCAGAGGGGAUUUCAUUACAGCAGAAGAACAGAGGGAACCAGGAAGUCACUUUGUGUCCCAGCGUCGGAUGGGGCUCUCAUGUUCCGUCUCUUCGAGAAAAGAAAUUUCAGAAUUUCCUAUCUUCAAUUUAAUCAACAGGGAAGAGAAAAAUCUGAAGUGCCUGAAAUUAGUCCCCAAAUAAAUAAGUCUCCUUAUUGUUCCAUUUAAUUAUUUAGGUCGUGGAACUUGUGGAUGAUUGUACCUUUUUUGUUGUAUUUUUGCUUUUCUUCCUUCUUUUCUUUUUUUUGGGGGAGGGGCUUGCC